UACAGAGGGUGCAAACGUUGCUCGGAAUUAUUGGGCGUAAAGCGCGUGUAGGCGGCUUGUUAGGUCGGUUGUGAAAACCCAUGGCUCAACCAUGGAAGUGCGUCCGAAACUGGCAAGCUAGAGUCUUGACGAGGAUGGCGGAAUUCCCAGUGUAGAGGUGAAAUUCGUAGAUAUUGGGAGGAACACCGGUGGCGAAGGCGGCCAUCUGGGAAGGUACUGACGCUGAGACGCGAAAGCGUGGGGAGCAAACAGG
rnacentral:rRNA from 1 species